UUUUAAUUCGAUGCAACGCGAAGAACCUUACCUACUCUUGACAUCCAGAGAACUUAGCAGAGAUGCUUUGGUGCCUUCGGGAACUCUGAGACAGGUGCUGCAUGGCUGUCGUCAGCUCGUGUUGUGAAAUGUUGGGUUAAGUCCCGCAACGAGCGCAACCCUUAUCCUUUGUUGCCAGCGAUUCGGUCGGGAACUCAAAGGAGACUGCCAGUGAUAAACUGGAGGAAGGUGGGGAUGACGUCAAGUCAUCAUGGCCCUUACGAGUAGGGCUACACACGUGCUACAAUGGCAUAUACAAAGAGAAGCGACCUCGCGAGAGCAAGCGGACCUCAUAAAGUAUGUCGUAGUCCGGAUUGGAGUCUGCAACUCGACUCCAUGAAGUCGGAAUCGCUAGUAAUCGUAGAUCAGAAUGCUACGGUGAAUACGUUCCCGGGCCUUGUACACACCGCCCGUCACACCAUGGGAGUGGGUUGCAAAAGAAGUAGGUAGCUUAACCUUCGGGAGGGCGCUUACCACUUUGAUCG
rnacentral:rRNA from 1 species